GCCUACGGGGGGCAGCAGUGGGAAUAUUGCUCAAUGGGGGAAACCCUGAAGCAGCAACGCCGCGUGGAGGAUGAAGGUUUUCGGAUUGUAAACUCCUUUUGUUAGAGAAGAUAAUGACGGUAUCUAACGAAUAAGCACCGGCUAACUCCGUGCCAGCAGCCGCGGUAAUACGGAGGGUGCAAGCGUUACUCGGAAUCACUGGGCGUAAAGAGCGCGUAGGCGGGAUAGCAAGUCAGAUGUGAAAUCCUAUGGCUUAACCAUAGAACUGCAUUUGAAACUGUUAUUCUAGAGUAUGGGAGAGGUAG
rnacentral:rRNA from 1 species